rnacentral:misc_RNA from 1 species
GGUCAGUAUAUAAAUUAAAUACAUUAAGUUUGAGAAAAUCAAAUAAUAUUUGUUCCAUAAUAAUAAUAAUUCGAAGAAUAUAUUAUCUUUGAAAGAAGAGGUAAGACACAGCAAGUCUGCAGCCAAUUUUAAUUAUGUGUUUUGUUAUAUUGAGCAGGAUCGGGUCUGCAAUAUGCAAGAAGCUAAGUGAAAAGCACACCACGUACAUAGUUGAUAUGAAAUCUCACCCCUAUUUUCAUUUUUGUGCACGUUGACACAUGGAGUCAUUAGCAAUUCAUUGAGUAAUAUACUUGAUAGACAUGGUGUCACGACCCAAAUUAUGGGCCGGAUCGAUGUUACGACUUGGGUCAG